AGUGAAGUGAAAAGUAAAAAGAAAAGAGUCCAUAGGCACAAGACAUCAAUUCUAGUUCCUUUGGACCCUGUCCAGUUCUCCUAGAGCUAGGUUUCAGAUUUAUCCAAAGGAGAUCUGCAGCCUUGUUGGUCAAGGAAUUACUAAUAAAGAUUAAAGAAGGCCAUUUGAUGUAACAGCAUAUUAGUAUUUAUUAUGUAUAUGUGCCAACGUUUUUAUUUUGUAUAUCCAAAUAGAGAGAGAGAGUUAGUGAUGCAGGAGAGGAUAUGAUUCAGCACACCCACUGCGGUUCUUACCCAACUUGUACAGAUUUUUGUUCUAUUUAAUGCCAAUAUUUUUAACAAAUUACUAGCA